rnacentral:rRNA from 1 species
AAUGGGCGCAAGCCUGAUCCAGCAAUGCCGCGUGUGUGAAGAAGGCCUUCGGGUUGUAAAGCACUUUUGUCCGGAAAGAAAACCUCGUGGUUAAUACCCGUGGGGGAUGACGGUACCGGAAGAAUAAGCACCGGCUAACUACGUGCCAGCAGCCGCGGUAAUACGUAGGGUGCAAGCGUUAAUCGGAAUUACUGGGCGUAAAGCGUGCGCAGGCGGUUCGCUAAGACAGAUGUGAAAUCCCCGGGCUUAACCUGGGAACUGCAUUUGUGACUGGCGGGCUAGAGUAUGGCAGAGGGGGGUAGAAUUCCACGUGUAGCAGUGAAAUGCGUAGAGAUGUGGAGGAAUACCGAUGGCGAAGGCAGCCCCCUGGGCCAAUACUGACGCUCAUGCACGAAAGCGUGGGGAGCAAA